GUUGAGGAAGAUAAUGACGGUACUCAACAAGGAAGUGACGGCUAACUACGUGCCAGCAGCCGCGGUAAAACGUAGGUCACAAGCGUUGUCCGGAAUUACUGGGUGUAAAGGGAGCGCAGGCGGGAGAACAAGUUGGAAGUGAAAUCCAUGGGCUCAACCCAUGAACUGCUUUCAAAACUGUUUUUCUUGAGUAGUGCAGAGGUAGGCGGAAUUCCCGGUGUAGCGGUGGAAUGCGUAGAUAUCGGGAGGAACACCAGUGGCGAAGGCGGCCUACUGGGCACCAACUGACGCUGAGGCUCGAAAGUGUGGGUAGCAAACAGGAUUAGAUACCCUGGUAGUCCACACCGUAAACGAUGAUUACUAGGUGUUGGAGGAUUGACCCCUUCAGUGCCGCAGUUAACACAAUAAGUAAUCCACCUGGGGAGUACGACCGCAAGGUUGAAACUCAAAGGAAUUGACGGGGGCCCGCACAAGCAGUGGAGUAUGUGGUUUAAUUCGACGCAACGCGAAGAACCUUACCAAGUCUUGACAUCCCUUGACGAUGCUGGAAACAGUAUUUCUCUUCGGAGCAAGGAGACAGGUGGUGCAUGGUUGUCGUCAGCUCGUGUCGUGAGAUGUUGGGUUAAGUCCCGCAACGAGCGCAACCCUUAUGGUCAGUUACUACGCAAGAGGACUCUGGCCGGACUGCCGUUGACAAA
rnacentral:rRNA from 1 species